rnacentral:rRNA from 1 species
UGCCAGCAGCCGCGGUAAUACGUAGGGAGCGAGCGUUAUCCGGAAUUACUGGGCGUAAAGGGCGUGUAGGCGGUUUGGCAAGUCAGAGGUGAAAUGUCCCGGCUCAACCGGGGACCUGCCUUUGAAACUGCCGAACUUGAGGCCGUGAGAGGAGACUGGAAUUCCUAGUGUAGCGGUGAAAUGCAUAGAUAUUAGGAAGAACACCAGUGGCGAAGGCGGCUUUCUGGACCGAUACUGACGCUGAGACGCGAAAGCGUGGGGAGCAAACAGGAUUAGAUA